CUCACUUGGGAAUCUUGUUAAAAUGAAGACUCUGAUCCAAAAGGUUUGAGGUCAGUCCAAGAGUCUACAUUUCUAACAAGCUCCCAAGUGAUGUCCU
rnacentral:pre_miRNA from 1 species